rnacentral:rRNA from 1 species
GUCGAGGGGCAGCAUGAAAGUUUGCUUGCAAACUUUUGAUGGCGACCGGCGCACGGGUGAGUAACACGUAUCCAACCUGCCUCAUACUCGGGGAUAGCCUUUCGAAAGAAAGAUUAAUACCCGAUGUCAUAGUCCUACCGCAUGAUGGGAUUAUUAAAGAAUUUCGGUAUGGGAUGGGGAUGCGUUCCAUUAGUUAGUUGGCGGGGUGACGGCCCACCAAGACAACGAUGGAUAGGGGUUCUGAGAGGAAGGUCCCCCACAUUGGAACUGAGACACGGUCCAAACUCCUACGGGAGGCAGCAGUGAGGAAUAUUGGUCAAUGGACGAGAGUCUGAACCAGCCAAGUAGCGUGAAGGAUGACUGCCCUAUGGGUUGUAAACUUCUUUUAUAUGGGAAUAAAACGUUCCACGUGUGGAAUUUUGUAUGUACCAUAUGAAUAAGGAUCGGCUAACUCCGUGCCAGCAGCCGCGGUAAUACGGAGGAUCCGAGCGUUAUCCGGAUUUAUUGGGUUUAAAGGGAGCGUAGGUGGAUUGUUAAGUCAGUUGUGAAAGUUUGCGGCUCAACCGUAAAAUUGCAGUUGAAACUGGCAGUCUUGAGUACAGUAGAGGUGGGCGGAAUUCGUGGUGUAGCGGUGAAAUGCUUAGAUAUCACGAAGAACUCCGAUUGCGAAGGCAGCUCACUGGACUGCAACUGACACUGAGGCUCGAAAGUGUGGGUAUCAAACAGGAUUAGAUACCCUGGUA